UGCUUUUUGUGUUAGCCAUUGAAACUAAGCACCAUCAUUUAUGAGCGAAGAAUCCUAUAGUUCUUUUUACCCUAAAAUAUAAAAAGUUUUGAAAGAAAUUAUUUUUUAAACAAUUUAAAGUAACUAUCUUUUGAUAGUACAUUUGGUGAUUAUGAUAUUGCAAUGUAGCAGAUCCAACAUUAUUCUCAAAUCAAGAUGUUAAAUUAUGUUUUGUUUUGUCUUCCAUUAAAUGCAGGUGAAUGUGUUCAGAUGUAAAAUAUGUUUUGCUGAAUGUGGACAGUUUAUACACAUAACACAUAUUCUCUCUGAAAUGACUCUGUAUAUAAGGCAGGUGUGGUUGUGCAUGCCUGUAAUUCCAGCAGUUGGGAGAUAGAGGUCAGGAUCAUUCAAGGCCUGCCUGACACACAUGAAAAUCUGUAUCACAAAAGCAAAAUGACAAAGUCACUCUACAUAACAAAACAUGAUACUUUGAAAAAGUGUCUUUAUUUAUUGUUUCCUAGCUUGGUCACAGCUGAUUUGGCCCACACUGGAGUAGACCAGCAGCAGUUUAAAUAAACACACGUGCCAUGCUUUGGGUUCAUAGUUUAACAGUUUGUGUGGUUGUAUGUUUUGGUUUUGUUUUUUGGCUUUUGAUUUUCUGAAUUUCCCAGGUUCUGGUGUUAAAAAAUAUUUUCAUAUUAUUCAGUUUUAUCAUUUCUUUUGUUACUAAAUGUUUGACUCAAUUCUUGAUCUCAGAAUAAAUAUUUCAAAAGGGAUUCAACAAUGCUGGACUUUUAAAUGUACUUUUAGUUGUAUUUAACUUGUUUAGUAAAUAACUUUUUUAAGUCUG
rnacentral:lncRNA from 1 species